GGGGGCGAAAAGGUUUCGACGGGGGUAGGUAGGGGUAAAAGUAGCGAGCCCGGGACCAUGGCCCGGUAAAAACAUGGAACGGCAAAUAACUGCCAACGACAACUUAGCUUACGCUGCUUAAUUAAAGCAGCGCGUCCUCCUUCCUUCACCUGCGGGGAAGGAGCGGGCGUCAGAGAGCAGGUUACCGUCUGUAAAGACCUUCCCUUCUUUACACGGCGGGAAUGCAAGAGGGAAUAGUUCCAGGGAACCUUGCCCGGUAGGAGCCCUGGGGCGAAAUUUAAAACCCGGACUACGCUCGUAGAAGCUUUUACAACUAUACCUUCGGACCCGGGUUCGAUUCCCGGCGCCUCCACCA
rnacentral:tmRNA from 1 species